rnacentral:RNase_P_RNA from 1 species
GUGCAACAGAGAUAUACCGCCGCAAUUUUGCGGUAAGGGUGGAAAGGCGGGGUAAGAGCCCACCGGAGCAGCGGAGCCGCUGCUGCCAUGUAAACCCUACCCGAUGCAACGUCUAAUUGGAGCAAUGCGUUAUUGUCUGCUCGGCAGGCGUAUUGUUAUGACGGCUGGAGCGUUUCGGCGACGAUUCGCCAAGAUAGAUUUCCGCACACGACAAAACUCGGCUUAUCGGCUUAGUCGCUUA